CAGCACGUGACGAGAGCCGCUAUGCUACUGCGCGCCAUCUUGGCUUGGCCCGGAGAGCCCUUCUGAGGAGUAUAUUCACCAAGUGGCUUAGUUUCCUUAGAUCUUCGGUGGAAGGCAGGAAGAUCUGAGUAAUUCUGAUUAUGGGGAGGGAAUGAAACGGAACUUUUUAACUGUGGGACAGCAAAAAGACCUGGGUCAGAAUCCUCCGCCAUUUAUUGGCUGCAUGGCCUUGGGUAAGUCACGGAUUCAGUUUUCUCAACCACAGAAUGGGACCAGUAUCACCUACCUUGCAGGAUCAUGAGAAUUAGUGUUGUCGCGUAAAGUUCCUAGUAUAGUACCAAGGGCACAAAGUCAUCAUCACCACCACUAUCAAGCCUCGUGCAAAAAUCCAAAUUGGCAAAAAAAUAUUUCUGCAAAUAUCCAAAAGUGAUUUUUAAAGAAAGAUACACAAGUCAAUCUUCUAAGAUUCUGAAAACCCUGUCACCUGCUUUAUUUCUGGAGGAGGGUAAAGGGAGAAGAGAAAAUAUUCACUUGAAUUUGAGGGGGAGCUUAAUGGGAAGCAAUAGUAGCAACAAUUUUAGGCCUCUAAGGCUCCUCUCUGAUCACAAGGGAAGGCUGAAACUUCCUUGUUUGGAGAUUCAAGAGUUUAAUUUUUCCCUAGAGCAAGAUCAUCCAUUUUUGCUGGGAUAAAAGAAUAAAAGAACAACAAACUCAAUAGCACCAAAUGGGGUUUAACACAGAAAAUGGGGCCAGGUUUCUCCUUUCAAAUGCACAUUUUUUACAUUAAAAUAUGUUUAUAAAUCAUAGUUGUUUUUCCUCUCGAUUCAAUCCUUCUCCUUCCCCUACCAGGAGCCCGGGGAACUGGAAGAGCACGUGCGUUACUGACCAGAUAUACAAUCCGGACGCCCCUUCCAAACCGGAAUCUGAUUA